rnacentral:rRNA from 1 species
AAUGAACGUUGGCGGCGUGGAUUAGGCAUGCAAGUCGAGCGAGAAGUUUAAAAGAUGCUUCGGUUGAUUUUUAAAACGGACAGCGGCGAAAGGGAGAGUAACGAGUAGAUACGUACCCAAGGGUUCGGGAUAGCCAUGCGAAAGCGUGAGUAAUACCGAAUAAUGUCUCCGGACCAAAGAUUUAUUGCCCUUGGAGCGGUUUGCUUACUAUUAGCUUGUUGGUGGGGUAAAGGCCUACCAAGGCUUAGAUGGUUAGCGGGUGUGAGAGCAUGACCCGUCUCACUGGGACUGAGACACUGCCCAGACACCUACGGGUGGCUGCAGUCGAGAAUCUUCCGCAAUGGACGAAAGUCUGACGGAGCGACGCCGCGUGCUGGAUGAAGGCCUUCGGGUUGUAAACAGCUGUCGUAGGGGAGGAAAUUUUGACCGAUCCUAGGAGGAAGCACAGGCUAAGUUCGUGCCAGCAGCCGCGGUAAUACGAACUGUGCAAACGUUAUUCGGAAUCACUGGGCUUAAAGGGUGCGUAGGCGGGUUGGUAGGUCAGAUGUGAAAGCCCACGGCUCAACCGUGGAAUUGCGUUUGAAACCACUAGUCUUGAGGGGAUCAGAGGAGAGCGGAACUGAUGGUGGAGCGGUGAAAUGCGUUGAUAUUAUCAGGAACACCGGUGGCGAAAGCGGCUCUCUGGGAUCCUUCUGACGCUGAGGCACGAAAGCUAGGGGAGCGAACGGG